rnacentral:rRNA from 1 species
GACGAACGCUGGCGGCGUGCUUAACACAUGCAAGUCGAACGGAGAGGGCCUGCUUUUGUGGGGUGCUAGAGUGGCGAACGGGUGGGUAACAAGUGAGUAACCUGCCCUUGACUUUGGGAUAACUUCCGGAAACUGAGGACAACACCGGAUACGAGCUCCCGAUUCAUGGCGUGGGUUGGAGAGGUUCGGCGGUUGGGGCUGGACUCGUGGCUUUUGAGCUUGUUGGUGGGGUAGUGGCGUACCAAGGCUUUGACGGGUAGCCGGACUGAGAGGGUGACCGGCCACAUUGGGACUCAGGUGGGGGCCAGACUCCUACGGGCGGCAGCGGUGGGAGAUAUAGGGAAAUGGGCGGAAGCCUGAAGGAGCAACGCCGCGUGCGAGAUGACGGUCUUCGGGGUGGAAAGGGCUUUCGGCGGUGAGGAAGCGUGAGUGACGGUAAUGGGUAAGGAAGCAACGGCUAACUACGUG